rnacentral:lncRNA from 7 species
AGGAGACUACAGGAACGUUCUGCUGAAGCUCUGUGGCAGCGAGGAUUGAAGGAUUCCUGGGGUGUUUGUAACUGUUGGGAAUAACGCUCUGAAGGCAUCACAGACUGCCUGCUUGUCUCUGCAGUGCUCGGGGCUGUUCUGAGCUGCAGGCUCGCUGCAGCCCCGUGGCAUAGCCUUGCAUCUGGUGACGGACUGAAGCUGGAGAAUCCUGGCAGCAGAGGACGCUCCUGUCCCACAGAAGGGCUCACAGCUCCACCGCAGCUCCACCGACCUCAGUGCUGGUGAGGAGGCUGAGAUGCCUCCAAGUGAUGAAUGCAGUCCACCCAACCUUACACCUCGUGUGGUUCACUGUGCGAGGCGACCAGGAAGAAAGGUGGGCACAGGAUAUUUUACAGGUUCUGACUCAGGUUCCGAGAUUUUAAGUUUACCGUCUGGAAUUAAAGCCUUCUUCAACUGCCUGUUCUGCCACCUGAUCCGCCAUCUUAUCUCCAGUUUCCCGUACAGUGCUACCUUUCUGAUGUCCUUUACAGAGUAUAAUAGCCAUGCUCUUUGGUAGGCGUACAUCAUACUGAAUGUUUUCCUUGUGUGUGAGCAAUCCUUGCUCUUUCCAGAUGGCACUAUGAGCGUGUUCCACCCCAAAAGCAUGUUUAGCAUCUGACCAUGUAUUUAAGGCUCUUGUCAAGGCAGUUAUUGCAGCCUUCUGAGCCAAGUCCCCACAGGCAAUGGUUGUUCGAUUACCUGGUCAGUAGCAGUUACUGCAUAUCCUGCCUUACGGUUGCCUUGUCUCACAACACUGCUUCUGUCGGAUGAACCCAGGAAUCCUCAGCACUGUCCAAUGGUUCCUCCUGUAGGUCUGGCCGACUGGCACAGUCAGUCUCCAAGCAGUCGCACGCUGCCGGUUUGGAGGUAGCUCUGUGUUGGUGUUAGAAGCAUGGAAUGGCCUGGGUUGAGAAGGACCUCAAAGAUCGUCCAGUUCCAACCCCCUGCUAUGUGCAGGGUCACCAACCGACGGACCAGGCUGCCCAGAGCCUUGUCUUGAAGAAGAUUGUUUUUAGGAGAACAAAAACUUUGGAUCACCUUUCAAAUACAG